UCAAUAUAAAUUGAUUUUAAUAUUUAUUUAUUAAUUUUAGUUUUUAUAUUUAUUAUUUAUUAAAAAUAAUUAUAGUUUAAGAUAUGUUUUAGUAGAUUUUAUUGAAUUAAUUUUUUUUUAUUAUAGUUUAUUAGUACUGUAAAGGAUUGUUGAAAUAAAUUGAAAAAUUUUUAUUUAAAAAGAAAAUUUAUUUUAUUGUACCUUGUGUGUCAGGGUAGAUUAAAAAUUUUAUAGCUAUUAUUAUUAUUCUCGAUUUUAUAAGAGUUAAUUAUAUAUUUAAGUUAAUGUGUCAAAAUUAUUUAUAAUAUAUAAUUAGAAAUGAAAUGUUAUUCGUUUAUAAUGGUAUCUAGUUUUUUUAGAAAUGAAUUUAAUUCAUUGGAUUUUAAUUUUUUAUUUAAUUUUAUUAAAUAAAAAAUUUAUUAUUUAAAAUAUUUAAAGGGAUUAGCUUUUAAAUAAAAUUUUAAAAAUAUUUUUUUAUUAUUAAAAAUGUAUACAUAAAAUUUGUAAUCAUUUAUAAUUUUGUUAUAAAUUAUUAUGUAAUUUAUAAUAUUUAUUAGAUUUUAAAUAUUUAUAAAAAUAUUUCUUUUAAUUGUUAUAAGAAAGUAAUAAUGAUUUAAUUAGUAUAUUUUAUUAGUAUGAAUAAAUAUUUUUGUUAAGUUUAUAUAAAUAAUUCGGCAAAUAAAAAUACUCGCCUGUUUAACAAAAACAUGUCUUUUUGUAAUUAAUUUAAAGUCUGACCUGCCCAAUGAAAUAUUUAAUGGCCGCAGUAUUUUAACUGUGCAAAGGUAGCAUAAUCAUUAGUCUUUUAAUUGAAGGCUGGUAUGAAUGGUUGGACGAAGUAUAAGCUGUUUCAUAAAAAUUUUAUAUAGAAUUUUAUAUUUUAGUUAAAAAGCUAAAAUAGAAUUAAAAGACGAGAAGACCCUAUAAAUCUUUAUAUUUUUAUGAAUUUUAUUUUUAUAGAUUAUUUUUAUUAUUAUUUAUAAAAAUAUUUUGUUGGGGUGAUAUUAAAAUUUAAUUAACUUUUAUUUUUUUUUACAUUGAUUUAUGAUUUAUUGAUCUUUUAUUAAGGGUUAUAAGAUUAAGUUACUUUAGGGAUAACAGCGUAAUUUUUUUGGAGAGUUCAUAUCUAUAAAAGGGAUUGCGACCUCGAUGUUGGAUUAAGAAAAAUAUUUAGGUGUAGCUGCUUAAAAUUAAAGUCUGUUCGACUUU
rnacentral:rRNA from 1 species